GCUGAAUCCUGUCUGAUGAAUACCAUACUACCCAGAGAGCUCUUCAGAGAAUUUGUGCUGGAACAAGCAGUGCAGGAGACAGGAGACACAGAUGUACAUAUGCGGAGAAGACAGCACCCCACCAUUCCCAGGAGGCAACAUCAGGGCCAAUGGACUGACAUGACUGGUCAACCUGAGUCUGAUAAAAUCUAGGGCAGAUUCUGCUCCUGUUUCCCCUGUGUGUGGUGGCAGCUUGCAGAAGUAGUAACAUUUUAGCCUUCCUGGAGGAGACCCGAAGUAGCAUGCAGAGUGUCUGGGGGGUGUCCUUAAGCAUGGCAGGGUGGGAGGGGGUGCUGCACACUGUACAUUGUAGUGACCUUUGAUUUGAUUUGAUUUUUUUAAGGCUCAAAACUUUUCACUUGGUCUCGCUAGUGAAACCAUAUAUUUCCAAAUAUAUUUGCUGUUUCUUGAGAAUGAAAUUCCCAUCAUGAUUGCAGAGCUGCAGGCUUAAUCUGAUUUGAAAUCCAUCCAUGGCUGGCAGACUGCAACAAACCUCUUUCCUGUUCCUCAGAGUGGUCUUAGCUUCCUACGGGACCCUUGUGCCUGGUAUACAGUGGCCAGCACUGGACAGACAAGCAACCUCUACAGGCAGAAGAAGUGACAGACCCAAGAAACACUCAAACUAUUUGGCCUGAUCGGUUCCCUUUUAUAUUUUGGGGUGAAAACCCUAUCACAAAUCCCUUUGCUUUGAGUUGUCCUGUGACUAUGAAAGCUCUGCCUGUGCCAUUUCCUGCCUCCACAGGAAUACGUGGUGCCAACUGAGGGACUCUUUAGCUAGCAAACAGCAGUGUCUUUUCUCUCUCCUUUUUUUUGUACGGGCUACAUUGGGCCCUGUUAUUUACCCAGCAGACAGAGAACCACAGACUGUCUCCAUACUCUAAGACUUGUCCUUCUGAUUGUGAGAUACUGGGGCUCAGAUUUAGUUCUUUCUUACACUGGUGUAAAUCUCAGGCAACUCCACUGCAGUGAAUGGAGUCAUGCUGGGUUUAUACCCCUGUAGGCAAGAUCAGAAUCCAGUCCUGAUGCUUUACAAUCAUCACACACUCAGAUGUGCCACUGCUGGGCAGCCUUUGCUGUUGGAAUUUAUGGCGGACUUUGUCUCACAUUGAUCCCGGUGCUGUGCUCAAGUUCAGCGUUCUGAUGAGCUCCUACCGCUUGGGUAGG
rnacentral:lncRNA from 1 species